rnacentral:lncRNA from 1 species
GGCAAGUUCGAGUGAACCAGAGUGAGGCCAGGGACUUAAUCCUCACCGAUGACAGAGAGAUGGACAGCAAUUGAAGGAGACCCCGUACUCUACCCUUCCUCCCCGACCCAGCAUCAGUGUCUGCCUAGAGGAAGGAGGAGACAUGCCUUCUCUCCAUUUCCAGGCUCUGUGAAAUAUGUUGCAAGGCCUAUCUGUCUGCAACAGGACAGUCCGAGCAUUGCUUGCCAUUCAGUGCUCAUGCAAAGAAAGUACAAAGACUGAGGAGAGUCAAGGACAGAUGGUUCUUCUCCGUGGAUCACUGCUUGUCCCACCAGCUCAGGUCAGGCUUCCUCUCAGGACUGUUCAAGAUCCCUUAUGACAUUAUUGUAUUACUCACACUU